rnacentral:rRNA from 1 species
UACAGAGGUGCCCGAGCGUUGUUCGGAUUCAUUGGGCGUAAAGGGUGCGUAGGUGGCGCUGUAAGUGGGGUGUGAAAUCCCGGGGCUUAACCCCGGAACUGCAUUCCAUACUGCGGUGCUUGAGGACUGGAGAGGAGACUGGAAUUUACGGUGUAGCAGUGAAAUGCGUAGAAGAUCGUAAGGAAGACCAGUGGCGAAGGCGGGUCUC